rnacentral:rRNA from 1 species
GAUGAACGCUGGCGGCGUGCCUAAUACAUGCAAGUCGAGCGAACGGACGAGAAGCUUGUGUGUCUGACGUUAGCCGCGGACGGGUGAGUAACAUGUGUAUAACCUACCUAUAAGACGGGUAUAAUUUCGGGAAACCGGAUCUAAUACCGGAGAAUAUUUUGAACCGUAUGGUGGAAAAGUGAAAGACGGUGUUUCGGUCACGUAUAGAGGGAUCCGCGCUGCAUUAGCUAGUUGUUAAGGUAACGGCCUAUCAAGGCAACGAUGCAUAGCCGACCUGAGAGGCUGAUCGGCCACACUGGAACUGAGCCACCGUCCAGGGUCCUGCGAGACGCCGCAGUCGGGAAUGUUCCGCAAUGGGCGGGAGCAUGGCGGAACAGCCCCACGUGAGUGGUAGCGGUCUUCGGAUCGUAAAGCUCGGUUUCUGGGGAAGAACAUAUGUGUCCGUAGCUGUGCCCAUCUUGACGGUACCUAGUCAGAAAGCCCCGGCUAACUACGUG